rnacentral:rRNA from 1 species
UACGAAGGGGGCUAGCGUUGCUCGGAAUCACUGGGCGUAAAGCGCACGUAGGCGGCUUGUUAAGUCGGGGGUGAAAUCCUGGAGCUCAACUUCGGAACUGCCUUUGAUACAGCACGUCUUGAGUCCGGAAGAGGUGAGUGGAACUCCUAGUGUAGAGGUGGAAUUCGUAGAUAUUAGGAAGAACACCAGUGGCGAAGGCGGCUCACUGGUCCGGUACUGACGCUGAGGUGCGAAAGCGUGGGGAGCAAACAGG